GACGAACGCUGGCGGCGUGCUUAACACAUGCAAGUCGAACGGAAAGGCCCUGCUUUUGUGGGGUGCUCGAGUGGCGAACGGGUGAGUAACACGUGAGUAACCUGCCCUUGACUUUGGGAUAACUUCAGGAAACUGGGGCUCAUACCGGAUAGGAGCUCCUGCUGCAUGGUGGGGGUUGGAAAGUUUCGGCGGUUGGGGAUGGACUCGCGGCUUAUCAGCUUGUUGGUGGGGUAGUGGCUUACCAAGGCUUUGACGGGUAGCCGGCCUGAGAGGGUGACCGGCGACAUUGGGACUGAGAGACGGCCCAGACGCCUACGGGAGGCAGCAGGGGGGAAUAUUGCGCAAUGGGCGGGAGCCUGAUGCAGCAGCGCCGCGUGCGGGAUGACGGCCUUCGGGGGGUAAACCGCUUUCGCCUGUGACGAAGCGUGAGUGACGGUAAUGGGUAAAGAAGCACCGGCUAACUACGUG
rnacentral:rRNA from 1 species